GGAAUUGGAUUCUGCAGGAAGUGGGAGAGCCGCAGUUUGGGCAAGCAGUCCAGCACGGCCGCGGAAUUCUCGAGGUCCGUGGACGUGUUUGGCUUCAGAGGUGAAGAGCGAAAGUGGAUAGAGGGUUUCUGGAGACUUAAGCUAAGCUCAGGGUAACAAGGAAAGGAGGACGUGGGGCUGUCAGUGGGGCAAGGUUGCACUUUAGAUCCCAGAUGACAGACCUGUAAAGGCCGAGCAGACCUUUGACUGACAAGAUGGGGUGCUCAGUGAGACCAUCACAGCCUGCAACUAGGACUUUAUCUUGAACUCAGGUUUAUAUUUUAGGUGAUGACUCUGACUACUGUGAGAAAAUGGAAUUGAGGAGUGGCAAGACUAAUGGAAGGAAAACCAGUUAGGCCAUCAUUGUAGUAAUCCAAGGAAAAGAAGAUGGCGGCCCGUACUAGGGCAUUGCCAGCGUGGAUGGAAUUAUAAAUCCCGGAGGGAUCCAGGAAGUAGAACUGGCAAGAUUUGACAACUGGAUUGGAAGGCCAGAGCUUAUUUUUCAAUUGGAGGAAGAUUGCUUUACAGUGUUCCUACUAUCCAGCAACUUGAAUCAGCCGUAAUUACAUAUAUAUCACCUCCUUGGGCCUCCCUCCACCCCACUCCACUGCCACCCCCAUCCUGCCCCUUCAGGUGGUCACAGAGCACCUGGCUGGGCUACAAGGGCUGGUUCUAAAUGACUUGAUUCCCUAGCACCUUACACCGUGUCUGGCACAAAUAGGGCACCUGGUCAUUGUUGAACUGAACUACUCCUUUUUAAACACGGUACAUCUAACAGGAGAAAUGAAUAGUAGUAGUCUCUGAGGAGGGAGACUGGGGCUCAGAGUGAAAAGAUUUUAUUGUAUAUAUUUUGGUUCUUCAUGCCUUUUCCCUCAUUUGCUUAUAUUUCCUAUGAAAAAUAAAAAUGAUGAGAAAGAAA